rnacentral:rRNA from 1 species
GAUCCUGGCUCAGGAUGAACGCUAGCUACAGGCUUAACACAUGCAAGUCGAGGGGAAACGACAUCGAAAGCUUGCUUUUGAUGGGCGUCGACCGGCGCACGGGUGAGUAACGCGUAUCCAACCUGCCCAUCACUUGGGAAUAACCUUGCGAAAGUAAGACUAAUGCCCAAUGAUACUCCCACGAAGGCAUCCGAAGUGGGAAUUAAAGUAUUUAUCGGUGAUGGAGUGGGGAUGCGUCUGAUUAG